rnacentral:rRNA from 1 species
UACGGAGGGUGCAAGCGUUGUCCGGAUUUAUUGGGUUUAAAGGGUGUGUAGGCGGUUGUUUAAGUUUGGUGUGAAAUCUCCCGGCUCAACUGGGGGGGUGCGCCGAAUACUGAAUGACUUGGAAUGCGGGAGAGGAAAGUGGAAUUCCUGGUGUAGCGGUGAAAUGCGUAGAUAUCAGGAGGAACACCAGUGGCGAAGGCGGCAUCCUGGACCGGUAUUGACGCUGAGGCGCGAAAGCUAGGGUAGCAAACGGG